rnacentral:rRNA from 1 species
UACGUAGGGGGCAAGCGUUGUCCGGAAUCAUUGGGCGUAAAGAGCGUGUAGGCGGCCCGAUAAGUCCGCUGUGAAAGUCCAGGGCUCAACCCUGGAAUGCCGGUGGAUACUGUCGGGCUCGAAUCCGGAAGAGGUGAGUGGAAUUCCUGGUGUAGCGGUGAAAUGCGCAGAUAUCUGGAGGAACACCGGUGGCGAAGGCGACAUCCUGGACCGGUAUUGACGCUGAGGCGCGAAAGCCAGGGGAGCAAACAGG